rnacentral:rRNA from 1 species
GUUGUAUAGUUAAGUGACUAAGCGUACAAGGUGGAUGCCUUGGCAAUCAGAGGCGAAGAAGGACGUGCUAAUCUGCGAAAAGCUUGGAUGAGUCGAUAAGAGGCGCUUAAUCCAAGAUAUCCGAAUGGGGAAACCCAGUAGAUGAAGAAUCUACUAUCAACAAGUGAAUUCAUAGCUUGUUGAGGCAAACCGGGAGAACUGAAACAUCUAAGUACCCCGAGGAAAAGAAAUCAACCGAGAUUUCGUCAGUAGCGGCGAGCGAAAGCGAAAGAGCCAGUAAGUGAUAACAGUAUGGUUAGGAGAAUGUGUUGGGAAGCACAAUCAAAGAGGGUGAUAAUCCCGUAUCUAAAAACCAUAUUGUGGUACUAAGCUAACGAGAAGUAGGGCGGGACACGUGAUAUCCUGUUUGAAGAAGGGGGGACCAUCCUCCAAGGCUAAAUACUCCUGAUUGACCGAUAGUGAACCAGUACUGUGAAGGAAAGGCGAAAAGAACCCCGGUGAGGGGAGUGAAAUAGAACCUGAAACCUUGUACGUACAAGCAGUGGGAGCCCCAUCACUUAAUCCGAUUGGAAGGUGAUGAAAAGCAACCGCACUUAAACAAUGGUAAGAGGAGCGAAGCGAGUCAAACCACCCAAAAGAAGCAGUGGGAUUAAGUGAUGGGGUGACUGCGUACCUUUUGUAUAAUGGGUCAGCGACUUAUAUUUUGUAGCGAGGUUAACUGAAUAGGGGAGCCGAAGGGAAACCGAGUCUUAACUGGGCGAGUAGUUGCAAGGUAUAGACCCGAAACCCGGUGAUCUAGCCAUGGGCAGGUUGAAGGUUGGGUAACACUAACUGGAGGACCGAACCGACUAAUGUUGAAAAAUUAGCGGAUGACUUGUGGCUGGGGGUGAAAGGCCAAUCAAACCGGGAGAUAGCUGGUUCUCCCCGAAAUCUAUUUAGGUAGAGCCUUGAGGUGACACCUUUGGGGGUAGAGCACUGUUUCGGCUAGGGGGCCAUCCCGGCUUACCAACCCGAUGCAAACUACGAAUACCAAAGAGUGAUACUCAGGAGACACACGGCGGGUGCUAACGUCCGUCGUGGAGAGGGAAACAACCCAGACCGCCAGCUAAGGUCCCCAAGUCUAUAUUAAGUGGGAAACGAAGUGGGAAGGCUUAGACAGCUAGGAUGUUGGCUUAGAAGCAGCCAUCAUUUAAAGAAAGCGUAAUAGCUCACUAGUCGAGUCGGCCUGCGCGGAAGAUGUAACGGGGCUGAAAUAUAGCACCGAAGCUGCGGCAUCAG